UGAACAAUUAUCAUCCAAUUGUGAAACUAUUGGCCUCGCCAGACUGUUUGAAUUCAUCACUGAGCUGCUGAAACGUGAUGUCCAUUUCCAGAGCAUAUGAAGGCCUGGGCAGGACGGCUUCAGAGCUGUAUUUACCACAGCGUUGACUCUGCUGAGGUGGCUAAAGCUUCGGAGAAAGCAACGACAUUAAGUUGGGGAAAGGGCUCGUUGGCUCAGGUGACGGUCCUGGAAAAUGCCCCAGCCUCGGCUGUUGAGAAAGGUGUCUACUUUUGAUCUCCGUUCCAUGUUGCCCAAUGCCUGGAAUCUGAGCGCUGGGUGAUGGGUCGCUGGAGUUGAGAUGCAGGUGCUGGGAGCUGCUCUACAAGCACAGAAGAUUGAGCAAAUGUAGCAGUCUGCCUUAGCCUCCCACCUCACCUGACUGCUUGCAAUCUAGGACACGGAAGCAAGACACCUCCGCCCACCCCACCCCCUUCUUCCUUCCUUCCUUCCUCACAUCAGCUUGCUGCUACCAGCCAGCCUAGAUGUCUCCUAAGGCGGCUAUGGAGCAGAUUCUGCGUGGCCUGUUGCCGAAAGCAACCAAUCAUCACCACCCCAAAGCCUGAGGGGCACCCCGGGAGGCAGGAGUGGAACAAUUGCAGCAGCUCUUCAGCCUGUGAGACUUCACUUAUUUCCCCCGGAAUAAGGAAAGCUAACGUGAUGGAGCAGCAAAUAUAGCAAUAAGCACAGCAAGAGUAGCAGGUGGCUGGAGCUCUUGUAAGACUCAUGCUCCGGUCCCUGCCACAUCGUCUUCCUGCAGGUCAGCGAGGCGAGGGUCAGUAUGGACAUCAGCUCCAAGCUGACAGCACCCGACUGCCGGGAUUCCUUCCUUCCCAUGGAAAGAGCAUGAGCCUUGGAGUCAGAGGAACUGG